AUGAUGAGUUCUUCCAGGUGGCCGGAGUUGGAUCUGUCGUUGCCUUGGUCAUUAUUCCGGUGGCCGGCGUAUUGGAGCGGUGGCCGGAACUUUCAAGAAACUCUGUCGCGGUGGAACUUUUGGUUGGUUGAUGACGUGUUGUGGGCACUCGUCACGUGUAUAGAGUCUCUAGCUUUGCUUACUAUGCUAUGUUAUUUCUUCCUAUGCUGUGGUUGUACUCUCUGA